UUGAGGCUUCAGCUAUUUAUAGCUCCCACACACUCACACACAUACGCGCAGCUAGCGACGAUCUUGAUCUUAGGCAGCGGCACAUGCCACAAGCAGCGAUUCCGCUCUAUAACAAUGGCCCACAGUGAACAAUGGCUAAAACGAAUAAAAAACAACAACAACAACAAAAAGCCAAAACAAAAGCGAAUUUUCAGUGGCACAGAGGCGGCCACUUACAAGAACUUUAACACGCCAGAGUUCAAAUUAGUCAGCAGACACUCCAUAAAUCAGACAACGGAAAACAAUCAUAAAGAGCCGCUGCUGCUGCUCUCUGGACCUGAGUGGACCAAUAGCCAGACAGUCAACCAGGCAGGCAGCCAGGCAGCCAGGCAGCCAGCCAGGCAGCUGGCUUCAGCAACUGGACAAGCGGGUUGCGUUUGGCCGCCCGCUGCUUGAGAGUGCUCUGGGUGGAGGCAUUAGCAUACAAUUUGUGUGGCAACUUGUUGUUGUCGUGCCAUUGUCAGCAAUAAAUAAUAAAAUUGCAUUGCAAUGCACUUUGCCAGGCGGAUAAAUUGCCAGCCACUAAAUCGCCAAAGCAAUGAAUCAGACUAACUUCGGCUGUGGAUAGGAUCGAUGGGAAGAAAAGCAAAUAUAAGAAUGAGAUGAAGACUCUUUGAGCGUUUUUCCCAUUUACUUUGCAAUGAUGAUUGCCAAGCGGAUUUACUUUGCGAUCAACUGUGAUGUUUGCCAGGCAGAUAAAUGCUUAAGAAGCUGCAGCAAACAUAAAGAAGAAGGGUAGAAUGGCAGAAUGGUUGUUCCUCUAUUACUUGACCUCGCAUUAUAAUUAUUUACCACUUCAGAGUCGACUAUAUUCCAGAAUCACUUUGCAAGGCACUUUGCCAGGCGGAUAAAAGGCGGCUAUGGCUAUUUCCAAUGCAUACGCGAGUCUUGUAAGCCAUGUUUAUAGGGUGGCAUGGACAUAAGAAAUAAUACGAAAUAAAUAAAAAAUAGUUGCCAUGCUUUGGCGACUGUUUGCUGCUGUUGCUCAGUGUCGUACAAAUUGCACCGUUAAUAAAGUCAAAAUCGGAUUGGACACGCCUCGGCCGACGCCUGGCCCCAACUGGAGUCCAAGUGGAGCUCAGCUGCGCGCCCAUUGCGAAGCAGUUGGUCCAUUCCGCGCACAGAUGCAGUUGGAUAUUUGAUCUGUUGACCAAAAAACAAAAACAAAAAAAAAAAAAACCAAAAAAAAAAUGCCAAACAAUAAAUUGGCACUAAUGAAUUUGAUUCAUUUCGAUUUGCCUUCGGCCAUAACUAAAUCAACAUUUCGGAUCUCUAUCUCUAGCUCCAGCUCUAUCUGUAUCUCAGGCUGCAUAUGUAUCUGUAUCUCAGCUGACAGUUGUCAUAAGGCACAAGUGACCCAUAUGUGUCAGACGGUAGGCAAAGGCGUGCCAGUUACUGGAGGAUAGAAAACCACGUAAGAACAUUACCAAAGAGCUUAUCCGACUACACAGCACCCGCUCACGUCCAUUGGUAGAGCAGAUCAAGAGAACUUGCUAAUGCCAGCCCCAAAGCAGUCUCACAUACCAGCGAAGCCAAUAUGCUCUUCUCAUUGGAGCGUGAGCGAGUAUUAAAAACAUAACUAUGUGCAUAUCUUGAUAAAUUGUACAAAACUGCGAAUUGUAGCUACAAGCUCGUUCGCUAGAUCUAUCAAAUUGAACAAGUCAACAAUUUGGA
rnacentral:sRNA from 1 species